UACGUAGGCAGCGAGCGUUGUUCGGAGUUACUGGGCGUAAAGGGUGUGUAGGCGGUUGUUUAAGUUUGGUGUGAAAUCUCCCGGCUCAACUGGGAGGGUGCGCCGAAUACUGAAUGACUAGAGUGCGGGAGAGGAAAGUGGAAUUCCUGGUGUAGCGGUGAAAUGCGUAGAUAUCUGGAGGAACACCGGUGGCGAAGGCGGCAUCCUGGACCAAUAUUGACGCUGAGGAGCGAAAGCCAGGGGAGCAAACGGG
rnacentral:rRNA from 1 species